GACGAACGCUGGCGGCGUGCUUAACACAUGCAAGUCGAGCGGUAAGGCCCUUCGGGGUACACGAGCGGCGAACGGGUGAGUAACACGUGAGUAAUCUGCCCAUCACUUCGGGAUAACUCCGGGAAUCCGGUGCUAAUACCGAAUAUGACCACUUCAGGCAUCUGAUGGUGGUGGAAAGUUCCGGCGGUGAUGGAUGAGCUCGCGGCCUAUCAGCUUGUUGGUGGGGUAGUGGCCUACCAAGGCUUCGACGGGUAGCCGGCCUGAGAGGGUGACCGGCCACACUGGGACUGAGACACGGCCCAGACUCCUACGGGAGGCAGCAGUGGGGAAUAUUGGACAAUGGGCGAAAGCCUGAUCCAGCAACGCCGCGUGAGGGAUGACGGCCUUCGGGUUGUAAACCUCUUUCAGCAGGGACGAAGCGCAAGUGACGGUACCUGCAGAAGAAGCACCGGCCAACUACGUG
rnacentral:rRNA from 1 species